AGUGUGUAUUUAAUUUAAUUUAUCUGCAGCUGGGAAUUCAAUUUGUUACCGUUGAAGUGUUUGAUCGCAAACUCCUAUAAAUCAAUUUCAUUUCACAAGCAAUUUAUGAAGUUUGAAGUAACUAGUCUCCUCUCUCUGUCACCCUGUGUUUUCUCUCCGAAACGAUCUCGGCUCGCCACCGUAGAGGAGCAAUUCACCACCGCAUUCAUCUUCGUCAUCCGGCAUACUGCCCCUCUCUCCGGCGUCCGUCCGUCGUCUUGCAAAGAGAAGAGAGAGCCCGGAGCUAGAACCAUUUCUUUGGUUUGUCGCAGAAAAUCUUGUGCGUUCCGAAUUUCUAUCGCACUCAUGCUCUUCUGCCCAAGAUUCGUUCAUCGGAGAAACCAAAGGCCCGUGAUCUCCAUUCCGCGUUCAAAUGUUUGGUCCGCACACGGCAACGGUGGAAGAAGGCGCGAGUCGCGUGACCAACGGUGGAAAAACGCACCGGCUGCUGAUGGUCAGCAUCUGAUUCUUCAUCCUCUGAACAUGAAGUGUCUACUUCACCAUUAUGGGAGCUAUGAUACGCUUCCUCACAGAAUAAGUGGAAGGAUUCUGCAAUUGGAGACAGUUACACAGUCUGAGGCUAUGAGGAGGCGUUAUCGAUUCCUGAGUCAUUUUCCAUUAACCACAACAUUUUAGCUUUCUGAAAUUGAUUUGAGUGAGAUAUUGCCUCCUGAAGCACUGGCCCUAUUUAUGGAUGAAAUAAAUAAGCGCUCUAAUCUGAGGAAACAACUUGUAAAGAAGUGAGAUGUCUGAAGUUUAUAGACCUUCCCAUUGAGAUGCUACAUAGGGCAUGAAGUAUCGUGUCACUUGUCAGAUCAGUUCAGAUUCCUGCCUAUGUCUCUCAAGUUCACAAGGUAGUAGUUCUUCCUGACGAACUAAUUGAUCAUGGCAAACUGACCCUUGAUCAGAAAUGACAUUGUCAUUGUUAUUUCGAAGGGUUUUGGUUCUCCUGUUUGACAAACUUGAAGCUGAGCUGGCUAAAGCUGUUAUGUCACACCUGCAACUAAGGGCUUUCAAUUUGGUAGUGGGUUUGUAGGUAUUUAAUAUUGCUCAUAUAUAUCACUUAUGUGGGUGCUUUUGUCUGAUUAUUUAAACUUACAUAUAUGACUCUUUUUUUAUGGUUCCUCACAUAUAGGACUUUGAAUGCCUUUGUCUUAUUAGUUUGAUCUGACUAAGCAGGGGUCAAACUUGAUGUAUAUCCACUUAUUUGCUUUUUUUUCUUUCUAAUUUUUCGUUCUUAUUUUCACUUUUUCCAUUUGUAUUGCUGCAUGUUUUAGUUCAUUUGUAUUACAAUUUUUCCAGUGUCCUUUUUCUUUUAUAGAUUGUAUUAGGUUUUGAGUAGUAAUUUUUCUUUUUCUCUCUUGUUAGACUUCGGACUUUCUUUUUUGGAUCCUUUGGUUGAUCUUUAUUGUUUGUUUUCUUUGUUUGUAUGGGUGAGUUGAGACAUUGAACACUAUUAUAAUAUGAUCCUCCCGACAUUCUUGCUUUGGUUGCUUUAUAGCUAUUUUCUCGCCUAAUAUAUCUUCAAAAUCUCUGGGUGAGUAGAGACAUUGUCUGAUUAUUUAAACUUUUAUAUAUGACUCUUUUUUAUGGUUCCUCACAUAUAUGACUUUGAAUGCCUCUGUCUUAUUAGUUUGAUCUAAUUAAACAGGGGUCAAACUUGAUGUAUAUCCACUUAUAUGCUUCUUUUUUUCUUUCUAAUUUUCACCUUUUCCAUUUGUACUACUAUUACUGCAUGUUGUUUUAGUUCAUUUGUAUUACAAUUUUUUCAGUGUCUUUUUUCUUUUGUAGAUUGUAUUUAGGAACAAAGCCUUGUAAUUUUAGAUCAUUUGUCUUAGGUUGAGUUGUAAUUUAUCUUUUUCUCUCUUGUUAGACUUUGGACUUCCUUUUUUGGAUCAUUUGGUUGAUCUUUAUUGUUUGUUUUCUUUGUUUGUGUGGGUGAGUAGAGACAUUGGACACUAUUAUAAAUAAGAUCCUUUAGAGUGAUCUUCUCGGCAUUCUUGCUUUGGUUGCUUUAUAGCUAUUUUCUCGCCUAGUAUAUCUUCAAAAUCUGGGUGAGUAGAGACAUUGUCUGAUUAUUUAAACUUACAUAUAUGACUCUUUUUUUUAUGGUUCCUGACUUUGAAUGCCUUUAUCUUAUUAGUUUGAUCUAACUAAACAUGGACAUAUCCACUUUUUUUCUUCUUUUUUUCUUUCUAAUUUUUACCUUUUCCAUUUGUAUUGCUGCAUGUUUUAGUUCAUUUGUAUUACAAUUUUUCUAGUGUCCUUUUUAUUUUGUAGAUUGUAUUUAGGAACAAAGCCUUGUAAUUUUAGAUCAUUUGUCUUAGGUUUUGAGUUGUAAUUUUUCUUUUUCUGUUAGACUUUGGACUUUCUUUUUUGGAUCUUUUGGUUGAUCUUUAUUGUUUGUUUCUUUUGUUUGUGUGGGUGAUUAGAGACAUUUGACACUAUUAUAAAUAAGAUCCUUUAGAGUGAUCCUCCCGGCAUUCUUGCAUUGGUUGCUUUAUAGCUAUUUUCUUGCCUAGUAUAUCUUCAUGAUGGCCGAUGCUUUUUUUACCGUUACUCAUAUAUGACUUUUAAUGUCUUUGGCUUACGUGUAUCCACUUUUUUUUUGUUUAAUUUUUCUUUCUUAUAUAAGAUUUUUCACCCAUUAGGAUGUCAGUUUUUUCACAUAUUAGGAUUCAAAUGUCCUUUUUUCAUUUAUAGAUUGCACUACUGACCAAAGUAAUUUUUAGAUUAUUUUUUAGGUUUUGAGUUUUAAUAUUUCUUUUCCUCUUGUUAGACUUUGGACUUUUUUUUUGAGAUCCUUUGAUUGAUCCUUGUUUGCAAGUAGGUGAGUCGAGACAUUGGACGCUAUUAGAAAUAGGAUGCUUUGAAGUGAUCAUUUAGGGUGCUUGCUUUCAUUGCUUUAUAAAUGGUUUCUCGCCUAGUAUAUUUUCAUGAUGGUCGAUUUUCUGAGUGAUUAUGUCUUGUUAUUUAAACAAACAUAUAUGACUCUUUUUUACAGUUGCUCAUAUAUGACUCUGAAUACCAUUGUCUUAUUAUUUUGAUCUGACUAAAGAGGGAUCAAACUUGAUGUAUAUCCCCUUAUUUUCUUUUUCGUUUAUGUCUAAUUUUUCUUUCUUAUUGCUUGUUUUAGUAUAUUUGUAUUAGGAUUUUUCCGGUAUCCUUUUUCUUUUAAUAUUUGUCUUAAGUUUUUAGUUGUAAUUUUUCUCUAACUAUACUUUUUUUUGGAUCCUUUGGUUGAUACUUAUUGUUUGUUUGUGUGCGUGAAUAGAGACAUUUGACACUACUAGAAAUAGGAUCCCUUGGAGUGAUUCUCUAAAAGUGCUUGCUUUGACUGUUAUAUCUUCAUGAUUGUCGAUGCUAUAAGUGUCUUUCUCUUAUUAUUUAAACUUGUGUAUAUGACGUUUUUUAUGACUCAUAAUGCCUUUGGCUUAUUAAAUGGUGGAUCAAACUGAAUGUAUAUCCACUUAUUUAGUUUUUUUUUGUCUUAUUUUCACCUUUUUCCAUAUCCACUUAUUUAAUUUUUUUUUGUCUUAUUUUCACCUUUUUCCCUACAUCUGUAUUAGGAUUUUCCAUUGACCUUUUUCUUUUAUAAAUCUUAUAUAGCCUUGUAAUUUUCAAAUCACUUGUCUCAGGUUUUGAGUUGUAAUAUUAGACUUUGGAGUUUUGCAUCCUUUGGUUCAUCCUUAUUGUCUGUAUGUGUGAGUGAAUAAAGACAUUAAACACUUGUAUCUUAUUAUUUAAAAUUGCAUAUAUAUGCUCUAAAUAGCUUUAUCUUAUUAUUUUGAUCCGGAUAAACUAGGAUCAAACUUGAUGUGUAUCCACACUUAUUUGUGUUUUUUUUUCUCUAAUUUUUCUAUCUUAUUUUCACCUUUAAGUUUGUAUCGGUUGUUACAUUUGUACUAGGAUUUUUCCAAUGUACUUUUCUUUUAUAGAUUGUAUUUAGGACCAAAGCCUUGUAAUAUGUCAUUGUCUUAGGGUCUAAGUUUUAAUUUUUCUUUUUCUCUCUUGUUAGACUUUGGACAUUUUUGGGGGUCCUUUUGUUGAUCUUAUUAUUUGUUUGUGUGGGUGAGCAGAGACAUUGGACACUAGAAAGAGACAUUGGUCCUUUGGAAUGAUCUCUUGGGGUACUUGUUUUGAUUGCUUUUUCGCCUAGUAUAUUUUUAUGAUGGUCUUGUAUGAGUGCUUUGUCUUAUUUAAACUGGAAUAUAUGACUUAUUUGUUCA